GCCGCGGUAAUACGUAGGUGGCAAGCGUUGUCCGGAAUUAUUGGGCGUAAAGCGCGCGCAGGUGGUUCCUUAAGUCUGAUGUGAAAGCCCACGGCUCAACCGUGGAGGGUCAUUGGAAACUGGGGAACUUGAGUGCAGAAGAGGAAAGUGGAAUUCCACGUGUAGCGGUGAAAUGCGUAGAGAUGUGGAGGAACACCAGUGGCGAAGGCGACUUUCUGGUCUGUAACUGACACUGAGGCGCGAAAGCGUGGGGAGCGAACAGGAUUAGAUACCCUGGUAGUCCACGCCGUAAACGAUGAGUGCUAAGUGUUAGAGGGUUUCCGCCCUUUAGUGCUGCAGCUAACGCAUUAAGCACUCCGCCUGGGGAGUACGGCCGCAAGG
rnacentral:rRNA from 1 species